UACAGAGGUCUCAAGCGUUGUUCGGAUUCAUUGGGCGUAAAGGGUGCGUAGGCGGCGCGGUAAGUCGGGUGUGAAAUCUCGGGGCUUAACUCCGAAACUGCAUUCGAUACUGCCGUGCUUGAGGACUGGAGAGGAGACUGGAAUUUACGGUGUAGCGGUGAAAUGCGUAGAUAUCGUAAGGAGGACCAGUGGCGAAGGCGGGUCUCUGGACAGUCCCUGACGCUGAGGCACGAAGGCCAGGGGAGCAAACAGG
rnacentral:rRNA from 1 species